rnacentral:rRNA from 1 species
GUCGAACGGGAAUUACUUUAUUGAAGCUUCGGUCGAUUUAAUUUAAUUCUAGUGGCGGACGGGUGAGUAACGCGUGGGUAACCUGCCUUAUACAGGGGGAUAACAGUCAGAAAUGGCUGCUAAUACCGCAUAAGCGCACAGAGCUGCAUGGCUCAGUGUGAAAAACUCCGGUGGUAUAAGAUGGACCCGCGUUGGAUUAGCUAGUUGGUGGGGUAACGGCCCACCAAGGCGACGAUCCAUAGCCGGCCUGAGAGGGUGAACGGCCACAUUGGGACUGAGACACGGCCCAGACUCCUACGGGAGGCAGCAGUGGGGAAUAUUGCACAGUGGGGGAAACCCUGAUGCAGCGACGCCGCGUGAAGGAAGAAGUAUCUCGGUAUGUAAACUUCUAUCAGCAGGGAAGAUAGUGACGGUACCUGACUAAGAAGCCCCGGCUAACUACGUGCCAGCAGCCGCGGUAAUACGUAGGGGGCAAGCGUUAUCCGGAUUUACUGGGUGUAAAGGGAGCGUAGACGGUGUGGCAAGUCUGAUGUGAAAGGCAUGGGCUCAACCUGUGGACUGCAUUGGAAACUGUCAUACUUGAGUGCCGGAGGGGUAAGCGGAAUUCCUAGUGUAGCGGUGAAAUGCGUAGAUAUUAGGAGGAACACCAGUGGCGAAGGCGGCUUACUGGACGGUAACUGACGUUGAGG